GUACCGUUACCUCGUUAUGCAUAUUCAUGUCUGAAGUUUUCAAGAACCUGAGGACUAACAACGAGGAAGAUGAGACUUGGAGCAGGAAGGCACACGAUAUCUUACGAGUUACUUGGACUGCGCUCCUUAUGAUAUAAUUUCCAAUGCACAAUGAUAUGCUUUAGCCAGUGAAUCAACGGUCUGAGUCCAUCCCUUCCACCCGAAGGAAAAAAAAACUGCUGCAACUAGUUUUUUUGCCUUGAUUGUACAGGCUGAACUGAAAGCUGCUUCUGCAUCAGCAUUUAAAGAUGAUGACUCAGACUACCCUCAGCCCUCU